rnacentral:rRNA from 1 species
UACGUAGGGGGCUAGCGUUGUCCGGAAUCAUUGGGCGUAAAGAGCGUGUAGGCGGCCGCUUAAGUCCUGCGUGAAAUCUCGGAGCUCAACUCCGAGCGGUCGUGGGAAACUGGGCGGCUAGAGUGCGGGAGAGGAGAGUGGAAUUCCGUGGUGUAAGCGGUGGAAUGCGCAGAUAUCAGGAAGAACACCCGUGGCGAAGGCGGCUCUC